rnacentral:lncRNA from 1 species
UGAUUUGAUUAUAAGCAUGUGAAGUGUUUGAUUUAUUUUCUAGUAAGGUUUAAAAAGAGAUUUUGAUCCAAAUAUGUUUUUAUAUUAAUUCAUAUCAGUAGCCACUUUAAAUUGAUCCUUACAUUUGGUAUCAAAGCUUUGGACUUUGAAUGGCUACUACAAAAAUUAUUCGUUCCAAUUUGGUGACGAUAGAGAAAUUAGAUGGCUUCAACUUUUCGAUUUGGAAAAGUAAACUGUUUUUGUUGCUCUAUACUAUAGAAUUGCUAUAUGUAAUUAAUGAAAAAAAACCAGCUGAAC